GUUUCCAAUGACCCUCCACGGUUGAGCCGUGGGCUUUCACAUCAGACUUAAAAACCGCCUACGCGCGCUUUACGCCCAAUAAUUCCGGAUAACGCUUGCCACCUACGUAUUACCGCGGCUGCUGGCACGUAGUUAGCCGUGGCUUUCUGGUUAAGAGGAGUGCUUAGCGCAAGCGAAGGUACGAAUUGAAGCCCCGGUGAACGGCGGCCGUAACUAUAACGGUCCUAAGGUAGCGAAAUUCCUUGUCGGGUAAGUUCCGACCCGCACGAAAGGCGUAACGAUUUGGGCACUGUCUCAACGAGAGGCUCGGUGAAAUCAUAGUACCUGUGAAGAUGCAGGUUACCCGCGACAGGACGGAAAGACCCCGUGGAGCUUUACUGUAAUUUGAUAUUGAAUCUUGACUCCACCUG
rnacentral:rRNA from 1 species